CAAUAGCGUAUAUUAAAGUUGUUGCGGUUAAAAAGCUCGUAGUUGGAUUUCUGUCAAAGGGUGUUCCUCCGCCCCUUGUGGUGAGUAGUGGACAUACCGUUGGCAUCUUCUUGGGGAGUGUAUCUGCUCUUUAUUGAGUGGUGCACAAGCCAGGACUUUUACUUUGAGGAAAUGAGAGUGUUUCAAGCAGGCUUGCGCCGUGAAUACGUUAGCAUGGAAUAAUAGCAUCGGACCUCGCUCCAAAGCUGUUGGUUUCUUGGGGCGAGGUAAAGGUGAAUAGGGAUUGUUGGGGGCAUUCGUAUUUAACUGUCAGAGGUGAAAUUCUUGGAUUUAUGAAAGAUGAACUUAGGCGAAAGCAUUUACCAAGGAUGUUUUCAUUAAUCAAGAACGAAAGUUAGGGAUCGAAGACGAUUAGAUACCGU
rnacentral:rRNA from 1 species